CCUACGGGAGGCAGCAGUGGGGAAUAUUGGACAAUGGGCGAAAGCCUGAUCCAGCCAUGCCGCGUGUGUGAAGAAGGCCUUCGGGUUGUAAAGCACUUUCAGUGGGGAAGAAAGCCUUGGGGCUAAUACCCUCGAGGAAGGACAUCACCCACAGAAGAAGCACCGGCUAACUCCGUGACAGCAGCCGCGGUAAUACGGAGGGUGCGAGCGUUAAUCGGAAUUACUGGGCGUAAAGCGCGCGUAGGCGGUCUGAUAAGCCGGUUGUGAAAGCCCCGGGCUCAACCUGGGAACGGCAUCCGGAACUGUCAGGCUAGAGUGCAGGAGAGGAAGGUAGAAUUCCCGGUGUAGCGGUGAAAUGCGUAGAGAUCGGGAGGAAUACCAGUGGCGAAGGCGGCCUUCUGGACUGACACUGACGGUGAGGUGCGAAAGCGUGGGUAGCAAACAGGAUUAGAUACCCGGGUAGUC
rnacentral:rRNA from 1 species